rnacentral:rRNA from 1 species
GAUGAACGCUAGCUACAGGCUUAACACAUGCAAGUCGAGGGGAAACGAUAUUGGAAGCUUGCUUCCGAUAGGCGUCGACCGGCGCACGGGUGAGUAACGCGUAUCCAACCUGCCCAUCACUUGGGGAUAACCUUGCGAAAGUAAGACUAAUACCCAAUGACGUCUCUAGAAGACAUCUGAAGGAGAUUAAAGAUUUAUCGGUGAUGGAUGGGGAUGCGUCUGAUUAGCUUGUUGGCGGGGUAACGGCCCACCAAGGCGACGAUGGGUAGGGGUUCUGAGAGGAAGGUCCCCCACAUUGGAACUGAGACACGGUCCAAACUCCUACGGGAGGCAGCAGUGAGGAAUAUUGGUCAAUGGGCGCGAGCCUGAACCAGCCAAGUAGCGUGGAGGACGACGGCCCUACGGGUUGUAAACUCCUUUUAUAAGGGGAUAAAGUUGGCCAUGUAUGGCCAUUUGCAGGUACCUUAUGAAUAAGCAUCGGCUAAUUCCGUG